UGUGACUGCACCAGCUACAAGUAAAGCCCAUCAGAGGGCAGAUUCAGAUCUCAGUUAUACCCGUGUAAACACGGAGUUGUUCUGCUGAAGUCAAUAGACUUCACAUUCGCACCAGUGCAACUCAGAACAGAGUCUAGACCUUACAUUGCAAAAGCCUGUAUUUGUGAGCCCAUAUUCUGGCUGGGACCAGCCCUGUGCCCAACUGCCCAUUGGACAAUCUGCUUCUCACUAAAGGACAGGAGAUGCCUACUCAGUUGUAACCUAAAGACCUUGAGAGAUGGAAACAGCCAAAGCUACAUGGGCAAAAGGAGGCUAGAUACACUGCAUAAUGAAGAAUGAGCUGGAGAUGGUGAAUAUGACAACUCUGUAGCUAUUCAUUCUACAUACAGAUGAACCCACUGCUUACGUAUUUUGUGACCAAUCCUGCCCACCCUGUCUGAUUUUGAUGGAGAAACUGAGGCAAACAGAAGUGAGAUGCCAU